CCCUGUAGCUCAGUUGGUAGAGCAUGGUGUUUGCAACACCAGGGUUGUGGGUUCGAUUCCCACGAGGG
rnacentral:tRNA from 1 species